rnacentral:rRNA from 1 species
GACGAACGCUGGCGGCGUGCUUAACACAUGCAAGUCGAACGGAAAGGCCCUGCUUUUGUGGGCUCCUCGAGUUGCGACCGGGGGAGUAACACGUGAGUACCCUGCCCUUGACCUUGGGAUAACUUCAGGAAACUGGGGCUCAUACCAGCUAGGAUCUCCUGCUGCAUGGUGGGGGUUGGAAAGUUUAGUCGGUUGGGGAUGGACCCGCGUUGGAUUAGCCAGUUGGUAGGGUAAUAGCUUACCAAGGCGACGAUCCAUAGCUGGUCUGAGAGGAUGAUCAGCCACACUGGGACUGAGACACGGCCCAGACUCCUACGGGAGGCAGCAGUGGGGAAUAUUGGACAAUGGGCGAAAGCCUGAUCCAGCAAUGCCGCGGGAGUGAUGAAGGCCUUAGGGUUGUAAAGCUCUUUUACCCGGGAUGAUAAUGACAGUACCGGGAGAAUAAGCUCCGGCUAACUCCGUG